AGAGUUNGAUCCUGGCUCAGGAUGAACGCUGGCGGCAUGCCUAAUACAUGCAAGUCGAACGAAGUCUUUAGGAAGCUUGCUUCCAAAGAGACUUAGUGGCGAACGGGUGAGUAACACGUAGGUAACCUGCCCAUGUGCCCGGGAUAACUGCUGGAAACGGUAGCUAAAACCGGAUAGGUAUGAGGAAGGCAUCUUCCUCAUAUUAAAGCACCUACGGGUGUGAACAUGGAUGGACCUGCGGCGCAUUAGCUGGUUGGUGAGGUAACGGCCCACCAAGGCGAUGAUGCGUAGCCGACCUGAGAGGGUGAACGGCCACAUUGGGACUGAGACACGGCCCAAACUCCUACGGGAGGCAGCAGUAGGGAAUUUUCGUCAAUGGGGGGAACCCUGAACGAGCAAUGCCGCGUGUGUAAAGAAGGUCUUCGGAUCGUAAAGCACUGUUGUAAGUGAAGAAUGCCACAUAGAGGAAAUGCUAUGUGGGUGACGGUAGCUUACCAGAAAGCCACGGCUAACUACGUGCCAGCAGCCGCGGUAAUACGUAGGUGGCAAGCGUUAUCCGGAAUCAUUGGGCGUAAAGGGUGCGUAGGUGGCACGAUAAGUCUGAAGUAAAAGGCAACAGCUCAACUGUUGUAUGCUUUGGAAACUGUCGAGCUAGAGUGCAGAAGAGGGCGAUGGAAUUCCAUGUGUAGCGGUAAAAUGCGUAGAUAUAUGGAGGAACACCAGUGGCGAAGGCGGUCGCCUGGUCUGUAACUGACACUGAUGCACGAAAGCGUGGGGAGCAAAUAGGAUUAGAUACCCUAGUAGUCCACGCCGUAAAC
rnacentral:rRNA from 1 species